AACGAACGCUGGCGGCAUGCCUAACACAUGCAAGUCGAACGAUAUCUUCGGGUCUAGUGGCGCACGGGUGCGUAACGCGUGGGAAUCUGCCCUUUGGUUCGGAAUAACAGUUGGAAACGACUGCUAAUACCGGAUGAUGACGAAAGUCCAAAGAUUUAUCGCCAGAGGAUGAGCCCGCGUAGGAUUAGCUAGUUGGUGUGGUAAAGGCGCACCAAGGCGACGAUCCUUAGCUGGUCUGAGAGGAUGAUCAGCCACACUGGGACUGAGACACGGCCCAGACUCCUACGGGAGGAAGCAGUGGGGAAUAUUGGACAAUGGGCGAAAGCCUGAUCCAGCAAUGCCGCGUGAGUGAUGAAGGCCUUAGGGUUGUAAAGCUCUUUUACCCGGGAUGAUAACGACAGUACCGGGAGAAUAAGCUCCGGCUAACUCCGUGCCAGCAGCCGCCGUAA
rnacentral:rRNA from 1 species